rnacentral:rRNA from 1 species
AUUUUUUAUUUGUUUAAAAGUUAUUGUUAUUGCAUAACAUUUUAAGAAAAUUAUUCAUGAUUAAUGAAUAAUAGAAUACUAAGGUUAAAAAUUAUUAGGACUUAUUGUUACAAUAUAAGUUAGACUAAUUUUGGUGUUGAUAAAUCGUUUUAGUUGAUAUCUGUUUAGUGAUGCAUGCAUUAUAAAGUUAUGCUUUAAUAGUAGAUUUGUACGUAAAAAGGACUAAGAAUUCGUUUGUGUUAAAAAAGUUAUUUAGUUAAAGUAGGACUACAAAACUUUGUAGUUUAAAAAAUUUAAGAUUGAGUAAAUUUAAAUAAAAAUAAUUUUAUGUUUAAAAAUUUUUAAAGUGAAUUGGGUAUCAUAUCAAAUGUUUAUUAAAAACUUAUGUCUUUAUAUGAGACUGUUCCCUGCCCAGUGUUUUAUAAUUAACGGCUGUCUUAGCGUGAGGACUUAAAGGUAGCAAAAUCAAUUGUGUUCUUAAUGGAUUCGGGUAUGAAUGGGAUUCUGAUUUGUGAUUUACUUUAAUAGGUUUGAAAUAGUGUAAGUAGUUAAAAAUAAUACUUUCUAAUUAUACAAAGAUAAGUCUUCAGAAAUUAAGUUUUAGAUUAAAAUUAAUGAAAAUCUAUAAUUUAUUUAGGGCAAAAUAAACUAGGUAGUGUUAUAAAACUAAUAUUAUUGGUAAUAAUUACUCUGGAGUUAACAGGAAUAUUUAUCAUAAAAAGAUCAUAUUUUUUGGUAAGUUUUACAUCGAUGUUGUAUCUUGAUUCGAAUGGGGGCAGGACUUUGUUAUGUUGAGACUGUUCUUCUUAAAAAUUGAACGUGAUAUUAGUUUAAUUCAUCGUGAGAUAGAAUGGUUUAUCUUGAUAAUUAGUAAAUAUUUAUGGGGGUCUUUAAGUACGAAAGGAAAUAGGAUAAAACUUGAAGUCAGAAGGUUAGUGACUUAAUUUA